CCAGAUGGUUGGAUGGCCGCUUUUUACAUUAGGGGAAACCCUGCAAAAAGAGGAAAGUCCGGGCUCCACGGAAACACGGUGCCGGGUAACACCCGGCGGGGGAGACCCCAGGGAAAGUGCCACAGAAAGCAAACCGCCUGCAGUAACAGGUAAGGGUGAAAGGGUGUGGUAAGAGCACACCGCGCUAUCGGUAACGAUAGUGGCAGGGGAAACCCCACCGGGAGCAAGACCGAAUAGGGGCAGCGACAUGAGUGUCCGCAUUGCUGCCCGGGUGGGUCGCAUGAGAUGUACGGCAACGUCCAUCCCAGAUGAAUGGUCAUCACCUGUUAUGACAGGAACAGAACCCGGCUUAUAGACCAUCUGGUAUU
rnacentral:RNase_P_RNA from 1 species